rnacentral:rRNA from 1 species
ACGCUCAGAUAUAGUCGUC